AAAAAAGAUAAUUAAACGAAAAAAAUUUAUUAUGUAUAAAUUUACAAACAAUUUGGUAGAGUUGCAGUAGUCUGAGCCUGAAACGCAGUUAAAACUUUCAAAACUCGGUGGAAGUAACGCAUUAACGUGGUAUCUUCAAUUUAAAACAAAAUGUGAAUCUCCAAGGAUUAGUAAUGCUCACCGCAAGGAACUUCGCUUGGAACUGUAUCAAAACAAACAGCCAUUACAUUUAAAAUUAUACAUUUUUUUUUAAAUUUUAUCAAUAUUUGCAGCAGUUUGGUGUCUAGAGUUUUCCCUUUACACGAAGAACUACGAAAGUUUGAUAAAACAAAUAAAGUUUUACAAAAUAAAUAGCUUAACUUAACGGUUUUAAUUUAACUAUUACUAAUUAGCGCUGAACUAGUAGUUCCGCCGCUUCUCUAAAAUGUUUACUAAUUAACUAUUUAAAUUAGAACAACAACUUAAAAAUGCGUACAUUACUAAUUUUUGAAAAUUGUUGUGAAGAACAUAUAUUUAGCAAGCGUGUGGUCAGUGAGUGAGCGUGUUUCGAAGACAGUUAGGCUUCAACAACUUAUUUACGAGUAGUCUAUUUUUGGAGACAGUAAGUUUUAGGCUUUAUCAAAUGAAAAAUUUAAAUAAACAAAUUCAAACAAAUGGCUUAUAUGUACUUAAAUAGAUAUAUACGAGUAAAUAAAGGCUACUUUUUCAUUCGAAACGAAACUAAAAA